AUUAUUAUUAGAUAAUUAUAUAUUUAAUAUUUGUGAUUUUUUUUAUUCUAAAGUUUAUGGUGAAUAUGUUUUUAUUAUUUUUUCUGGUGUUAAAGACAGCCCAAGCACAAGUGUGCAAUGGAUUCGUUUCAAGCCAAAAUUCAGCUAGUCAACAUCAUAGACAAAACUUACAGAGUUCGCCGUCAGCAGUGAACCACCAAAGCUAUUGGGCCAGCCAACCGAAAUGUUGGCCAAGUGAAGCCAAAGCCUACUUCCUGCCAAGUGCACCGGCGUCUAUGAAAGCCGCAGCGUUCAAUACAAUAGAAAAUGGCUUGGGCGAUCCUUUUGCGAAUGCAUUAACAAAAACGUUAAAUGAAAAGCCUCGUAACCUUGCGGAGAACUUUGCAAAUAAAAUGCCGUUAAAAUUUGAAAUUACGCCCCCGCCACCAUGUCUCCCAAUAUUGCCAGGAAUCAUUGAAUUCCCUACUAUAUUUUUAUCUGCGAAUGAAUUGUGCCCGAAUUGUAAGCGGCAAGUCACUGCUGAAGAAGUUUUUCAAGAGAAACCGACUGUGCUUCCCAAUAUGUUUAAUUUUGACAAAGAGUUGGUGAGGGGCUUUUUGAAUAGCUUGGGAUUGUGAAUUCGGUACGAGUUUUAAUGCUUCGGAAUCUAAUAAUUUAUUUUUAAGUAUAAUGUACCUUUAUCAAAUUAAAUUUAGUUACAAAAGAUUUGAGAAAUAUUAAUAAUAAAAAAUAUGCCUCUAGUAUUAGGGGUUAAAGUAUGAAAUUGCCGAUUUGUACUGAAAAAUUGAAA